CUUGGUCAUUUAGAGGAAGUAAAAGUUGUAACAAGGUCUCCGUUGGUGAACCAGCGGAGGGAUCAUUACUGAGUUGCAAAACUCCAACCCAUGUGAACUUUACCUUUAUUGUUGCUUCGGCGGGCUCGCCCGCCGGAGGUAUCAAAAUUCAUGAAUUUAUUAAGCAUCUCUGAGCAAACAAGACAAAAUAAUCAAAACUUUCAACAACGGAUCUCUUGGUUCUGGCAUCGAUGAAGAACGCAGCGAAAUGCGAUAAGUAAUGUGAAUUGCAGAAUUCAGUGAAUCAUCGAAUCUUUGAACGCACAUUGCGCCCGCCGGUAUUCCGGCGGGCAUGCCUGUUCGAGCGUCAUUUCAACCCUCAAGCCUUUUAUGGUUUGGUGUUGGGGCACCCAGCUUUCUAGUAGGGGCCCCCAAAUUCAUCGGCGGGCUCGUCGGAACACUGAGCGCAGUAAAACGCGGUAAAACGCGCCCUCGCUUGGCUGUGCUGACUUGUUCCAGCCGCUAAACUUUUAUUACAAGGUUGACCUCGGAUCAGGUAGGAAUACCCGCUGAACUUAAGCAUAUCAAUAAGCGGAGGA
rnacentral:rRNA from 1 species